GCUUAACACAUGCAAGCCGAGCGAGAAUCGUUUUGCUGAAGGCUUCGGUCUGACGCAGAAUGAGGAAAGCGGCGAACGGGUGAGUAACGCGUGGGCAACCUGGCCUUAAGAAAAGGAUAGCCCCCGGAAACGGGGAGUAAUACUUUAUGAGAAUGAAAGAGGGCAUCCUACUUUCAUUCAAAGCGCAAGCGCUUAAGGAUGGGCCCGCGUAUCAUUAGCUAGUUGGUGAGAUAACAGCCCACCAAGGCAACGAUGAUUAGCCGGUCUGAGAGGGCGAACGGCCACAUUGGAACUGAGAGACGGUCCAAACUCCUACGGGAGGCAGCAGUGGGGAAUAUUGCGCAAUGGAGAAGAACUCUGACGCAGCAAUACCGCGUGAGCGAAGAAGGUCUUCGGAUCGUAAAGCUCUGUUAUCAGGGAAGAAGAAAAUGACGGUACCUGAUGAGCAAGUCCCGGCUAACUACGUGCCAGCAGCCGCCGUAAAAC
rnacentral:rRNA from 1 species